rnacentral:rRNA from 1 species
UGGGCGAAAGCCUGAUGCAGCGACGCCGCGUGAGGGAUGACGGCCUUCGGGUUGUAAACCUCUUUCAGCAGGGAAGAAGCGAAAGUGACGGUACCUGCAGAAGAAGCGCCGGCUAACUACGUGCCAGCAGCCGCGGUAAUACGUAGGGCGCAAGCGUUGUCCGGAAUUAUUGGGCGUAAAGAGCUCGUAGGCGGCUUGUCACGUCGGGUGUGAAAGCCCGGGGCUUAACCCCGGGUCUGCAUCCGAUACGGGCAGGCUAGAGUGUGGUAGGGGAGAUCGGAAUUCCUGGUGUAGCGGUGAAAUGCGCAGAUAUCAGGAGGAACACCGGUGGCGAAGGCGGAUCUCUGGGCCAUUACUGACGCUGAGGAGCGAAAGCGUGGGGAGCGAACAGGAUUAGAUACCCUGGUAGUCCACGCCGUAAACGUUGGGAACUAGGUGUUGGCGACAUUCCACGUCGUCGGUGCCGCAGCUAACGCAUUAAGUUCCCCGCCUGGGGAGUACGGCCGCAAGGCUAAAACUCAAAGGAAUUGACGGGG